rnacentral:lncRNA from 1 species
AAAUAUAUUAUCUUCUCCUUCCCAUGCUGUAUCCUGCAAUGUUUAAUUACAGGGGUCAUCUGCUGAUCGGAUUCAGUGGAGAGAACCAACCAGAACAUCUGAUGGCCUGUGCUCACUCUAUGAGGCAGCUUUAUGUCUCUUUGAAGAGGUUUGUAGAAUGGCUUCUGAUUACUCAAGAACAUGUGCUAGCCCAGAUAGCAUUCAGACUGGAGAUGCUCCCAUUGUC